rnacentral:rRNA from 1 species
UACGUAGGGUGCAAGCGUUGUCCGGAAUUAUUGGGCGUAAAGGGCUCGUAGGCGGUCCAUCGCGUCGGGAGUGAAAAGCUGGGGCUCAACCCCAGUCCUGCUUCCGAUACGGGUGGACUAGAGGUAGGUAGGGGAGAACGGAAUUCCUGGUGUAGCGGUGAAAUGCGCAGAUAUCAGGAGGAACACCGGUGGCGAAGGCGGGUCUCUGGGCCAAAACUGACGCUGAGGAGCGAAAGCGUGGGGAGCGAACAGG